rnacentral:rRNA from 1 species
GUGAGAUGUUGGGUUAAGUCCCGCAACGAGCGCAACCCUUUUCCUUACUUGCCAGCAUUUCGGAUGGGAACUUUAAGGAUACUGCCAGUGACAAACUGGAGGAAGGCGGGGACGACGUCAAGUCAUCAUGGCCCUUACGGCCAGGGCUACACACGUGCUACAAUGGUCGGUACAAAGGGUUGCUACACAGCGAUGUGAUGCUAAUCUCAAAAAGCCGAUCGUAGUCCGGAUUGGAGUCUGCAACUCGACUCCAUGAAGUCGGAAUCGCUAGUAAUCGCGGAUCAGAAUGCCGCGGUGAAUACGUUCCCGGGCCUUGUACACACCGCCCGUCACACCAUGGGAGUUUGUUGCACCAGAAGUAGCUAGCCUAACUGCAAAGAGGGCGGUUACCACGGUGUGGCCGAUGACUGGGGUG